rnacentral:rRNA from 1 species
UCGGGAAUAUUGCGCAAUGGAGGAAACUCUGACGCAGUGACGCCGCGUGCAGGAAGAAGGUUUUCGGAUUGUAAACUGCUUUAGACAGGGAAGAAAAAAUGACAGUACCUGUAGAAUAAGCUCCGGCUAACUACGUGCCAGCAGCCGCGGUAAUACGUAGGGAGCAAGCGUUAUCCGGAUUUAUUGGGUGUAAAGGGUGCGUAGACGGGAAGACAAGUUAGUUGUGAAAUCCCUCGGCUUAACUGAGGAACUGCAACUAAAACCUAUCAUUCUUGAGUGCUGGAGAGGAAAGUGGAAUUCCUAGUGUAGCGGUGAAACUGCGUAGAUAUUAGGAGGAACACCAGUGGCGAAGGCGACUUUCUGGACAGUAACUGACGUUGAGGCACGAAAGUGUGGGGUAGCAAACAGGAUUAGAUACC